rnacentral:rRNA from 1 species
AACGGCCGUACCAUGCUGAAUAUACCGGUUCUCGUUAGAUCACCGAAGUCAAGCAUCAUUGGGCGCGGUCGGUACCUGGGUGGGUGACCACAUGGGAAACACAGCGUGCC